rnacentral:rRNA from 1 species
UGGGGAAUUUUGGACAAUGGGGGCAACCCUGAUCCAGCAAUGCCGCGUGUGUGAAGAAGGCCUUCGGGUUGUAAAGCACUUUUGUCCGGAAAGAAAACGCCGUGGUUAAUACCCGUGGCGGAUGACGGUACCGGAAGAAUAAGCACCGGCUAACUACGUGCCAGCAGCCGCGGUAAUACGUAGGGUGCAAGCGUUAAUCGGAAUUACUGGGCGUAAAGCGUGCGCAGGCGGUCCGCUAAGACAGAUGUGAAAUCCCCGGGCUUAACCUGGGAACUGCAUUUGUGACUGGCGGGCUAGAGUAUGGCAGAGGGGGGUAGAAUUCCACGUGUAGCAGUGAAAUGCGUAGAGAUGUGGAGGAAUACCGAUGGCGAAGGCAGCCCCCUGGGCCAAUACUGACGCUCAUGCACGAAAGCGUGGGGGAGCAAACAGGAUUAGAUACCCUGGUAGUCCACGCCCUAAACGAUGUCAACUAGUUGUCGGGUCUUCAUUGACUU